rnacentral:rRNA from 1 species
UACGUAGGGUGCAAGCGUUGUCCGGAAUUAUUGGGCGUAAAGAGCUCGUAGGCGGUCUGUCGCGUCGGCUGUGAAAUCCCGGAGCUCAACUCCGGGUCUGCAGUCGAUACGGGCAAACUGGAGUACUGCAGGGGAGACUGGAAUUCCUGGUGUAGCGGUGAAAUGCGCAGAUAUCAGGAGGAACACCGGUGGCGAAGGCGGGUCUCUGGGCAGUAACUGACGCUGAGGCACGAAGGCCAGGGGAGCAAACGGG